rnacentral:rRNA from 1 species
GGUUAAGCGACUAAGCGUACACGGUGGAUGCCCUGGCAGUCAGAGGCGAUGAAGGACGUGCUAAUCUGCGAUAAGCGUCGGUAAGGUGAUAUGAACCGUUAUAACCGGCGAUUUCCGAAUGGGGAAACCCAGUGUGAUUCGUCACACUAUCAUUACGUGAAUACAUAGCGUAAUGAAGCGAACCGGGGGGAACUGAAACAUCUAAGUACCCCGAGGAAAAGAAAUCAACCGAGAUUCCCCCAGUAGCGGCGAGCGAACGGGGAGCAGCCCAGAGUCUGAAUCAGCUUGUGUGUUAGUGGAACGGUCUGGAAAGUCCGACGGUACAGGGUGAUAGUCCCGUACACCAAAAUGCACAGGUUGUGAACUCGAAGAGUAGGGCGGGACACGUGGUAUCCUGUCUGAAUAUGGGGGGGACCAUCCUCCAAGGCUAAAUACUCCUGACUGACCGAUAGUGAACCAGUACCGUGAGGGAAAGGCGAAAAGAACCCCGGCGAGGGGAGUGAAAAAGAACCUGAAACCGUGUACGUACAAGCAGUGGGAGCCUCUUUAUGGGGUGACUGCGUACCUUUUGUAUAAUGGGUCAGCGACUUAUAUUCUGUAGCAAGGUUAACCGUAUAGGGGAGCCGAAGGGAAACCGAGUCUUAACUGGGCGUUAAGUUGCAGGGUAUAGACCCGAAACCCGGUGAUCUAGCCAUGGGCAGGUUGAAGGUUGGGUAACACUAACUGGAGGACCGAACCGACUAAUGUUGAAAAAUUAGCGGAUGACUUGUGGCUGGGGGUGAAAGGCCAAUCAAACCGGGAGAUAGCUGGUUCUCCCCGAAAGCUAUUUAGGUAGCGCCUCGUGAAUUCAUCUUCGGGGGUAGAGCACUGUUUCGGCUAGGGGGUCAUCCCGACUUACCAACCCGAUGCAAACUGCGAAUACCGAAGAAUGUUAUCACGGGAGACACACGGCGGGUGCUAACGUCCGUCGUGAAGAGGGAAACAACCCAGACCGCCAGCUAAGGUCCCAAAGUCAUGGUUAAGUGGGAAACGAUGUGGGAAGGCACAGACAGCCAGGAUGUUGGCUUAGAAGCAGCCAUCAUUUAAAGAAAGCGUAAUAGCUCACUGGUCGAGUCGGCCUGCGCGGAAGAUGUAACGGGGCUAAACCAUGCACCGAAGCUGCGGCAGCGACACUAUGUGUUGUUGGGUAGGGGAGCGUUCUGUAAGCCGUUGAAGGUGGCCUGUGAGGGUUGCUGGAGGUAUCAGAAGUGCGAAUGCUGACAUAAGUAACGAUAAUGCGGGUGAAAAACCCGCACGCCGGAAGACCAAGGGUUCCUGUCCAACGUUAAUCGGGGCAGGGUGAGUCGACCCCUAAGGCGAGGCCGAAAGGCGUAGUCGAUGGGAAACAGGUUAAUAUUCCUGUACUUGGUGUUACUGCGAAGGGGGACGGAGAAGGCUAUGUUAGCCGGGCGACGGUUGUCCCGGUUUAAGCAUGUAGGCGGAGGUUCCAGAUAAAUCCGGUACCUUUUUAACGCUGAGGUGUGAUGACGAGGCACUACGGUGCUGAAGUAACAAAUGCCCUGCUUCCAGGAAAAGCCUCUAAGCAUCAGGUAACACGAAAUCGUACCCCAAACCGACACAGGUGGUCAGGUAGAGAAUACCAAGGCGCUUGAGAGAACUCGGGUGAAGGAACUAGGCAAAAUGGUGCCGUAACUUCGGGAGAAGGCACGCUGAUAUGUAGGUGAAGUGAUUUACUCAUGGAGCUGAAAUCAGUCGAAGAUACCAGCUGGCUGCAACUGUUUAUUAAAAACACAGCACUGUGCAAACACGAAAGUGGACGUAUACGGUGUGACGCCUGCCCGGUGCCGGAAGGUUAAUUGAUGGGGUUAUCCGUAAGGAGAAGCUCUUGAUCGAAGCCCCGGUAAACGGCGGCCGUAACUAUAACGGUCCUAAGGUAGCGAAAUUCCUUGUCGGGUAAGUUCCGACCUGCACGAAUGGCGUAAUGAUGGCCGGGCUGUCUCCACCCGAGACUCAGUGAAAUUGAACUCGCUGUGAAGAUGCAGUGUACCCGCGGCAAGACGGAAAGACCCCGUGAACCUUUACUAUAGCUUGACACUGAACACUGGUCCUUGAUGUGUAGGAUAGGUGGGAGGCUUUGAAGUGUGGACGCCAGUCUGCAUGGAGCCAUCCUUGAAAUACCACCCUUUAAUGGCUGGUGUUCUAACGUGGACCCGUUACCCGGGUUGCGGACAGUGUCUGGUGGGUAGUUUGACUGGGGCGGUCUCCUCCUAAAGAGUAACGGAGGAGCACGAAGGUUAGCUAAUCCUGGUCGGACAUCAGGAGGUUAGUGCAAAGGCAUAAGCUAGCUUGACUGCGAGAGUGACGGCUCGAGCAGGUGCGAAAGCAGGUCUUAGUGAUCCGGUGGUUCUGAAUGGAAGGGCCAUCGCUCAACGGAUAAAAGGUACUCCGGGGAUAACAGGCUGAUACCGCCCAAGAGUUCAUAUCGACGGCGGUGUUUGGCACCUCGAUGUCGGCUCAUCACAUCCUGGGGCUGAAGUAGGUCCCAAGGGUAUGGCUGUUCGCCAUUUAAAGUGGUACGCGAGCUGGGUUUAGAACGUCGUGAGACAGUUCGGUCCCUAUCUGCCGUGGGCGCUGGAGAAUUGAGGGGGGCUGCUCCUAGUACGAGAGGACCGGAGUGGACGCAUCACUGGUGUUCGGGUUGUCAUGCCAAUGGCAUUGCCCGGUAGCUAAAUGCGGAAGAGAUAAGUGCUGAAAGCAUCUAAGCACGAAACUUGCCCCGAGAUGAGUUCUCCCUGAGACUAUAAGUCUCCUGAAGGAACGUUAAAGACGAUGACGUUGAUAGGUCGGGUGUGUAAGUGUAGCGAUACAUUGAGCUAACCGAUACUAAUGAACCGUGAGGCUUAACCUU